rnacentral:miRNA from 1 species
ACUCCGGCCUGGACUGCGGCGGG